GGGUUGUCUCCCAACAUCCCCAAAUAGUUAUUAAGUCUCUGUUUUGCAGCUGAUGUAAUAAAAUACAGUCCCUGUCCACAGAAAGUCCCUGCCCCGGGGAGAGAAACGAAUGCAGCAUAGCUGCUUCAUUCAAAGACGGCUAGGUGAGGAGACACAGACUCCCUGAGGCAAAGCCCCUGCAGAGUCACACAGCUGGCCCCCGGCCGUGACAAGUCCCAGUCACCCACACUGCUUCUUAGAGCUCCAGCAGGAAUGGCGGCCAAGAGGGCGAAGACGAUAGGGCAGUGCAGACGUGCAGGGGC